rnacentral:lncRNA from 1 species
CUUCUUGCUUUCUUUUCAUUCCUCCUCUCUUAUUCUUCUUAUAUCCAUGGUGGAUCAUAGACCUAAUGUCUCAAGUCUAGGUUCCUUUUAUAGGGUUUUAUUGAUUUUUCUCCCAAUUAAUGCAUGGUAAUUUUUAUCAUCCCUUUAUUUUUUUAAUAUAACCAUCAUAGUAAAUUAUAUAUCCACUACAUAAAGAUACCUAUGAAGCAACU